rnacentral:rRNA from 2 species
UCGUAGGUGAACUGCGGAAGGAUCAUUG